GCUUCUGUAAAUCCUGCUGAUCGCUAUGGG
rnacentral:piRNA from 1 species